AGCUGAGACAAGCAUGUCCCAGUAUAGACUGUGCAAGUGUCCUGUUCACGUGGCAUUCUUCCCAAAUUGACCAAUUGCCUGUCCCCCGACCUCUCCAAGGGUGGAGUGGGUGAAUGGGUGAAGAGAUGAGGGUGAAGAGACGCUCGGAGGUGAGAACUGUUAUCACUCAUGUUGCAUGGAUGAAGCAACUGAAGCUCACAGAGUCCAGGAACUUGCCCAAGAUCACACAAUGAGGAAUGAAGCCAGGAUUUGGACCUGGGCCGUCCAACUCAAGAGCUCGCAGCUCCCUCCCAGUGCCCUCCUGCUGAUGUCCCUACGCAGCCCGGGUCAGGGCUCCCUCAGGCCCAGGGCAGCUUUUUCUGCUCUCAGAACGAUGAGAAGAGUCCCAAGGAGAAGGGUCACAUCUGGUUUGUUCUUCUGCCUCUCCCCACGGCAUCUAGCAAAGAGCGCAUGUCAUCGGCGUUGGUAACCAACUCCAUAAAUAAUGUGGUGAAAAGGCAACGCAGGAGACAGAGCAGCAUGUCCAAGUCCGUUUCACAGUCCGCCGGCUGAGGGAGCACAGUCAAGCCUUUCAACCUCACCGAGCCUCAGCCCUCUUGUCUUUGCAAAGGUGGCCUUGAUUCAGUCCCUAUUUAUGCCAUAGGGUUGUUGUCGUGCUCAAAUGAGAGAGCCAACACGGAACGACUUAUCGUCUCAGCUAUAGACGUGCCACAUGGUUAUUAGGUCACGCUGGUCUGCCAGAGACAAUCCGCACGGAAAGUGGACAAGGGCAGCCAGCCCGGGCGACGCUGGCACUCCAGUUCUCCAGGGACAGGGUCUCGUGUUUAGGCCUUUGGGGGAACAUUUAAGCUAUGAGGCCGCAGAGCAGAGACGCUGCCAUUUUAUUUUAAGCACAGCAAUAAGCACAAUAAAAACAAGGCCUGCUGAAGGCCGGCGGCGAUGAAAUACUUCCUCAGAGGACAUUAAGGAGUCAGCCUCUUCCUUUCUCAGCAGUGUUUCUGUAAUGUCCUUUUUCCAUCUGUCCCUACCACCGAGACACUUGUUCACACCCGGCCUGUUUCCUGCCUGGAUCCCUGCCACCUCCCACUGCCUGACUUGCUAUCUCUUGCCUCCUGACCCCACUUCAGCGCCAGACGGUUCAGGAUGCCACUCCUCAAUUCAACUUGGAGUGGCUUCUGGGUUUCUGCACCACCUGCCUUUUCUGUUCUGAGGCGCAGAGAUCUUCUUAAAAAUCACCUUUCAAUGUCACUCCAUUGUUUCCUGUCAUCCUUUCUUCCCCAAUUUUGGAUUUUGUUUGGUUUUCUUCCUAAAAUUGCUGGCUAAAAGGAAAAGCUCAAAGUGACUUCUUUACUUCCUGGUUUGUUUUUUCUUUUUGUUGCUUUUAACAUAAAUGAAUUUCUCCAUCUCUAGAAAGUAAAAGCAACGUAUAACCAAAACCCCAGCACCACAAGACGAUUUUGAAGUUUGGGCAGGAAAUCCUAGGAGAUUAACAUGAAAGGGAAGUCUUAUCUUGCAAACAUUUGCUGGUGAACCCCGUCAUUCAGCAACGCACCCCCAGCUCUGACUAUUCUGAUCUCUUGGUCAAAAUCUAUGCAAGAGUUUUGCUCCCGGAUUUUCUCCUCCUAAACCUGCACCAAAAUUCCUUUUUUUCUGACCAUCUGGUCUUCUCAUCUAACUUGGCCAAGCACAGCUUGACAACUCUCCCCUACUGCGAUGGCACAAAGGGAAGAAAUGAAGACCUGAAAUCAGCCUGAUACAGUCUCAGACUUCAAUUCCAUGCUACUUAAGGUGAAAUAAACCAUCAAAGUGAUAUAUUAGGAAACUAUGCACAGCAAAGCCGCGUUCAUUCAAAACUAAAGGCAGGGAAGAAAUGGAUUUAGAAUUAAUAGUUCUGGUGCUUUGGGAAGAAACGACUGGAAGUUCUUUCCCACUGCGCCUUCCUUCAAAAUAAUAAUGGCCAACAGCAUUUGCAUUAUUCUUCACAGUCAACAGAGAGCUUUUACAAAUGGGAGGACAUCAAAGAAGAUCAAAAUACUAAUUUAUAUUUGACUCUUUCUAUUUUCAAAGCCCUUUUAGAUUGGAUACCUCAAUUCAUCCUCUCCUAAAUUUUGGAAGAUGGAUAAAGCGGGCUUUAUUCAAUCCAUCAUUCAUCUAUUUAACUCGUGUUUGUUGAAUGCCUCCAGUGGAUGCCUGGCACUCUUUUAGGUCCUGGAGACACAAAGCAUUGAAUAAAACCGAUGAAGUUUCUGAUCUCAUGGAGCUUCUGCUCUGUUCCCAGUAAGCAAAUGGGAACAAAUAUAGAAUAUAUCAGAUGGGAUACAGUGGGGGUAAAAGCAGAAAAAAUUACAGCAAGGUAAGGGGCAUAGAGAGUCAUAGAGGAGGGCUGCACUGUUUUCUAUAGGGUGAUCUCUGAUGAAGGGGUACUUGCGGCGAGCCCUAAGGGCUGAGAAUCGCAGAUGCUGGGGCAAGAGGCUUCCAAGGGCUCGGAGGAAGCAUUUAGACGGGAACGCAUACGGCUUGUUAGAAAACCAGCAAGGAGGCCAGCGUGGCCGAAGCAGAGUGAGCAAGGCAGAGAGCGCUAGGAAAUGAGGUCAGAGAGAUAAGAGAGAUGAGCCAUGGAAGGCCCUGCCAGACGCUGCAAGGGCUUGGGCUUCUAGCCUGAGCCAGCGGGAAGUCUUCCCACAAUUUUAAGCAGAGGAACAUGAUCUGACUUACAUUUCGAGACAGUUACUCUGGCACAGACUGCGUGCCAUCCCCGCCUCUUUCUUGCGUAAUAAUGGAAAACACAAAUUUUUAAUUGGACCCGUGGCAUCCUAGAAUCAAGACUCUAUUUCCCAGCAUCUCUUGCUUGUAGGUAUAGCUGUUACCACAUGAAAAUGGGGUUCUCCUACAUGAUGUGCAUUUAAAAGACAAUUAAUUAUGGCAUUGGCUUUGGGGAAAGAAAACAGUUUUAUGGAGAGAUGGAUCUGCAAGGAGACAGGAGGCAUGUGCCCUCAGUCUCCCGGAUCCAGGGCUUGGGGCACAAUUUAUGGGAUGAAGGGCAGGGCGGUCUAAAGGUGGAGAUAGAUGAGUGGAGGUAGGAGAAGUGAGGUAAUUGAUGGUCUGCUCAAGCAUAGUCAAGUUUCAUGGCUCGUCAUCGGAUGCCCGUUCACAAAAUGGUGGUGUUCCCAUGAUCUGAGGGUGCAGUUUUCAGCCCCUUGACAUCAAAAAGGUCACUUACUGGGCACUUGCAACGGCCCAGCUGAUGGGUUGGUGGUCUCAACUGGCCUGAACUGGACAAGGAGUCUCAGUUCCUGAAAAACUACUCUUAAUUACUCUGUUGAUAAGAUGGGGUCAGUUGUACUGGUCCUAGAGGGCCCAUGAUUAUAUAGCUGUAUGACAAAGUCUGGCCAAUGGGCAAAAAGUGGAAGUAUAACAUGGUGCUUCCAAAAAUCAUGUACCUUUUGACCCUUUUCUUCUUUACUUUGUCCUUCAUCUUCUGCCUGGAAGGCAGAUGUGAUGGUUGGAUCUCCAGCUGCUACAUUGGAUCAUGAGGAGAAAGGCCAUCCAUCUGGAUGGGAUAGUGACGAUUUGGAAGAAGCUUAAGUCCCCAAGGACUUUAUGGAGCAGAUCAUACCUGUCCACACAGGCCACCUCCAGACAUUUAUUUUGUGCCUCUGUUUCUGGUAGCUGAGCCUGGUCCUAAUUGGUACAAUCUUUCAGGCCACUGUGUAGAGAAUAAACCACAAGGGGACAAGGGCAAAAACAGGAAUAAUUUCUAUCUUGUAAAUGAGAACCCUGAAGCUUUAAGAAAUUAAGUGAAGAACACUGGGAUUGUGGUUAAAAACAUUGGCUUUUAAAGUCAACAAACCUGUCAUAUUUAAAUCCUGCCUCCAACGCUUUCUAGCCUUGGAAGCUUGGGCAAGUUCCUUAGUGUCCCCAAGCCUUGAUUUAUGGGGAUGAUAACAGAACCAACCUCAGACUAUUACUGUGAGUAUGAAAUAAAAAGACUUGACACGGCCUGGCAAAGUUGGACUCCUCACCAGCUAGGUCCCUGUUCCUCCUCUUCUCUGUACCUUUCCGGAAGCACAUCCGGAAUGUGUAUGUGCAGGAAAGAGCAAUCCUUCCAAGAUUAGCACACGUCACACACCAUUAAGAGGAAAUACUUCUGUUAGUCAGGGAGGAAGCGAAGGAGAGAGAGAAAGGAGAAAAAAAGCCUUAGACGCGGAGAUGACAGACAUUCAAGUUCACGGGAGGAAAAUGACAGUAGUGGCCGUGGACGUGCUGGAAGAUCUAAGGAGAGAAGGCCAGCACUGCAUCUUCAGCCUGGGGCUGGUGACGUUCUCAGGGCUCCAAGCUCUUUCCUUUCCGACCCUCUCCUUUUCUCUCCUCUUCUCUAUCGCCUCUUUUCUUUCUUGUUCUAAAAUAAAAAUAGGACUAGUGAAAAGCUUGGCAAAUUGUCUGUCUCUCAGGCUGUUUUUCGUCGAAGGGACUGAAUUUUUCGUUGGC
rnacentral:lncRNA from 1 species